GAUGAGGAUUUCUUCAUUUUGAGAAGUUGAGGGUUUAAACAGGCUCUGUUCUACCCUUAAAAUAUUAUUAUUAUAUUAUACUAAUAUAUUUCUUUUUUUGUUUGUUUGUUUUUAGUGAUUAGAAUUCUCUGCUUUUUCCUUCUCUUUUAUAUCCUAAAGCCUAGUGAGAGCAUGCAUAGGUAAGGGUGUAUAUAUAUUUACCUGGAAGACCUGAUACUCCUGAAGGAUUUGAUGUUUGCUGGAAGUUUCUUCUUUUCCCCUUGAGGAUUAUGAUAUGAAGACCUGUUACCAAAAUCUUAAACUUCACCAGCCGUGUUGUUCACGCCAUUGCAGAUGAAGCUCUCCCGCUGACCUGUGGGCGUUCUGUAUGAGCAAGAGGUUCAGGGCUCUGCCCUGGGCUGCUCUGUGUUUGGUGAAUUGGAGAAAAGUCAGGCAUAUAUCUGCUUGUUCUUGAAGUUGCAUUUAAUGAAUCAAUCUCUGAAGCAAAGGGGGGAAUGGAUAGAAAUAACAAACCAUUAAUUUAUGCUUUCGCAUUAUUAGAUAAGACUUUAAUUUGUGUCAAAAAAUAGUGCACUACUGUACCAGAGUGCCAGUACCAGUCUGUCAAGCUGCUUUUUUCAUCACUUGUACUCAUAAUGAAGUGGCUCUUCAGCUCUCAAAGGUUUAGCACUGCUAAUCCCAAACACCAGAUUGUCCUGUGCAGAAUUACUUCAUUGUUGUAAUAAUAUAUUUUUAAGACAAGACUGAAAUUCAUGGAGAAAUGAGCUAGCUUGUCUGUUAGGGAUGGCCUAAAUGUUUACUUCAUGCUUACUUUUGAAAGCAAAAGCAUCCCAUGUGCAAAAUCUGUCCCAAAUCUAUGACAAUGUAGGGGAGGUGUCCCACACAGUGGUUAUCAAUCCUUGCUGAAAGUUAGGAUGCUGCAGUAUCAUCGGUGGAAUCCCUCAAUAUUUAGCAAUCAUAUUAAAUAUACCCUGUAAAUUAUUUCUCAGCCUUCAUGUCUCCCAUUUGGAUGGGACAGCCUUGGACCUGAGCUACAGAAAUGAGCUAUAUCUGAAGGAAGAAUUAGGAAUCUCCAAAUAGAAGACAGAGAUAGGUGUGAAUUUGCUGAAUUCCCCAGUCAGCUGAGCAGGAAAGUGAAUGGAUCAGGGCUCACUGAGGAUGAGGGAAACUGGCUGUAGAAGAGGGAGAAGAUACAAUUCAGAGAGAAGGUGGGCUGCAGGAACAGAAACCUGGCUGCCCAUCUAUCUUCAGCUUUUGUCACGUGCAAAAUAACAAGUAAGUACUUUAUAAAUGUCAGGCACUAAUUGUAAGGGACUGCUGUGUGCCCCUUUAAAAACAAAACAUACAUCUAGGGAACAAAGAAGGUUGUAGCUCUGUGAAAAGUGUGCUUACAUCAACAUGCAAUUAUGUCAAUGUAAGGACACCAGCCCUGUUUUUUUGUGAGCCCCACUGGCACAUGUUGCAGGCAAAGGCUUUCCAGCCAGAGGCCAAUGGGAGAAAAUCUGCUGCUGCCUGAACCAGCUCUGGGAUUUGUGAGUGUGCACGCCUAGAGAGCAGCUCUCCCAUGAACUGCCCCCGUGCAGAGCCCAAAUGCUCUGCGUGGGCUGGGAGGCAGCACGUUAUGCUAUGCAAACCCUCGGCAUGAUCUGGCUGCAGGUGGUAAAAUGUGACACUGCACCACAAAGAAAAUUAAGUGCUGGCUACUUCUUUCUCUUCUUAUGGUCAGUGCAUGUACUUCCCUCACUUCCACAUACAGUUUCUUAUAUAACUGCAUUCUUAAAGGAAGCAGAAAUAAUUGAGUAAGCUUUAGGAAAGAAAAAAAGUUGAAGGUUCUUUUUCUGUUACAGAAAAAGUUA